rnacentral:tRNA from 1 species
GGCUCCAUGGUCAAGUGGUUAAGACACCGCCCUUUCACGGCGGUAUCAGGGGUUAGAAUCCCCUUGGAGUCA